UACGAAGGGGGCUAGCGUUGCUCGGAAUCACUGGGCGUAAAGCGCACGUAGGCGGAUUGCUAAGUCAGGGGUGAAAUCCUGGAGCUCAACUCCAGAACUGCCCUUGAUACUGGCGGUCUCGAGUCCGGGAGAGGUGAGUGGAACUGCGAGUGUAGAGGUGAAAUUCGUAGAUAUUCGCAAGAACACCAGUGGCGAAGGCGGCUCACUGGCCCGUAACUGACGCUGAGGUGCGAAAGCGUGGGGAGCAAACAGG
rnacentral:rRNA from 1 species